UAUGUUAAUAGCAUACUCAUUUGACGUUAGCUGCAGAAGAAGCACCGGCUAACUCCGUGCCAGCAGCCGCGGUAAUACGGAGGGUGCGAGCGUUAAUCGGAAUUACUGGGCGUAAAGCGCAUGCAGGUGGUUUGUUAAGUCAGAUGUGAAAGACCCGGGGCGUCAACCUCGGAAUUGCAUUUGAAACUGGCAAACUAGAGUACUGUAGAGGGGGGUAGGAAUUUCAGGUGUAGCGGUGAAAUGCGUAGAGAUCUGAAGGAAUACCGGUGGCGAAGGCGGCCCCCUGGACAAAGACUGACGCUCAGAUGCGAAAGCGUGGGGAGCAAACAGGAUUAGAUACCCUGGUAG
rnacentral:rRNA from 1 species